rnacentral:rRNA from 1 species
CAGCCGCCACGGUAAUACGUAGGGUGCGAGCGUUAAUCGGAAUUACUGGGCGUAAAGCGUGCGCAGGCGGUUGUGUAAGACAGGUGUGAAAUCCCCGGGCUUAACCUGGGAACUGCGCUUGUGACUGCACAGCUAGAGUAUGGCAGAGGGGGGUGGAAUUCCACGUGUAGCAGUGAAAUGCGUAGAGAUGUGGAGGAACACCGAUGGCGAAGGCAGCCCCCUGGGCCAAUACUGAUGCUCAUGCACGAAAGCGUGGGGAGCAAACAGGAUUAGAUACCCCUGUAGUCCCUGUCUCUUAUAC